UGCCAGCAGUGACCUGGAAUCCUACCUCCUUA
rnacentral:piRNA from 1 species